AAAAACACAAUGAUUAGGAGUAGUAAGGACUCAUUUAUUGUUCAGAGAGCUGCUGUUUGGUGAAAGGCAGUCAAUAAAUUCCCCAACUCGCCUAUGAGUGGUUAGACUGAUAUAGGUCUAAACGGCUUACUCCCGUCAUGAAGUAAUCGAGAAGGUUGUUCUAAGUUAUUUGUUAGAACAAACCAAGAAGAGUGGUACCGCGUUAGGAUAAUCCUGUCGUCUCUUUA
rnacentral:ncRNA from 1 species